rnacentral:rRNA from 1 species
UUGACCUCGGAUCGGGUAGGGAUACCCGCUGAACUUAAGCAUAUCAAUAAGCGGAGGAAAAGAAACCAACAGGGAUUGCCUUAGUAACGGCGAGUGAAGCGGCAACAGCUCAAAUUUGAAAUCUGGCUCUUUCAGAGUCCGAGUUGUAAUUUGUAGAAGAUGCUUCGAGUGUGGUACCGGUCUAAGUUCCUUGGAACAGGACGUCAUAGAGGGUGAGAAUCCCGUAUGUGACUGGUCACCUUCGCUCAUGUGAAGCUCUUUCGACGAGUCGAGUUGUUUGGGAAUGCAGCUCAAAAUGGGUGGUAAAUUUCAUCUAAAGCUAAAUAUUGGCCAGAGACCGAUAGCGCACAAGUAGAGUGAUCGAAAGAUGAAAAGCACUUUGGAAAGAGAGUUAAACAGUACGUGAAAUUGUUGAAAGGGAAGCGCUUGCAACCAGACUUGCACGUAGUUAAUCAUCCGGGGUUCUCCCCGGUGCACUUGGCUACGUUCAGGCCAGCAUCGGUUUUGGUGGUUGGAUAAAGGCCUAGGGAAUGUGGCUCUCUUCGGGGAGUGUUAUAGCCCUAGGUGCAAUGCAGCCUACUGGGACCGAGGACCGCGCUUCGGCUAGGAUGCUGGCGUAAUGGUUG